CCUACGGGUCGCACCAGUGGGGAGUAUUGGACAAUGGGCGAAAGCCUGAUCCAGCAAUGCCGCGUGUGUGAAGAAGGUCUACGGAUUGUAAAGCACUUCCGACGGGGACGAUGAUGACGGUACCCGUAGAAGAAGCCCCGGCUAACUUCGUGCCAGCAGCCGCGGUAAUACGAAGGGGGCUAGCGUUGCUCGGAAUGACUGGGCGUAAAGGGCGCGUAGGCGGUUUAUGCAGUCAGAUGUGAAAUCCCCGGGCUUAACCUGGGAACUGCAUUUGAGACGCAUAGACUAGAGGUCGAGAGAGGGUUGUGGAAUUCCCAGUGUAGAGGUGAAAUUCGUAGAUAUUGGGGAGAACACCGGUGGCGAAGGCGGCAACCUGGCUCGAUACUGACGCUGAGGCGCGGAAGCGUGGGGAGCAACCAGGAUUAGAUACCCCGGUAGUC
rnacentral:rRNA from 1 species